UGGAGUGCCAUUUAAAAGUAGGCGAACCAAAGGCCAUCGUCCAUCUCCAUCACCUCAUAACACGCCGCCUGACCACGGCAGUGGAAGGGCCCAAAACCACAGAUUCGUCGCUGCUUAUAGAGGGCAUAACGCUAGAGCUUUCAUCAAGCGAAGCUUCACGAGCUCUAAAAUUAAGUGACGAGAAGGUUGCCACGUCAUCA
rnacentral:lncRNA from 1 species